AAAUUUGGAUCCUUUUGGCUGGAAAGAUUGUCAGGAACCUGAAGAAACUGAAUCCACAAUAAACAUAUGUACACAAACAGAAAAAUAACAACACUGGUUGAUACAAUUCUAGGAACCGGAAGAAGUUAAAAGUUUGACUUGCAACGGAAAAUCCGGGAAACAUGUCUUUUACUGAACAGUAUGAGAGAGCAAUGAUGAUUAUUGGAUUUAAACUGCUUGGAAAAUAUAACCAAAUGAAGACGAAAAAUGCACUGCAUCAACAAACAAAACAACUACUGAAAGAUUGGGAUUCUAAAAACAAUUGUUCAAAAUCUUCUACAAGUUUAAGAAGACUGUACAUACAUGUAUAUAUAUAUAUAUAUUUAUAUAAGAAAGAAAAAAGUUUCAAGCACAUGCAUUAUUUUGUGUACAUAAAUGUAA